rnacentral:tRNA from 1 species
GGGGACGUAGUAUACUGGUAUUACAGUCGGCUCCAGACCGACGAAAUGGGGUUCGAUUCCCCACGUCCCCA